UACGUAGGGGGCGAGCGUUGUCCGAAGUUACUGGGCGUAAAGAGCGCGUAGGCGGACCCUUAAGUGAGGGGUGAAAGGUUCGGGCUCAACCCGGAGAGUGACCUUUCAUGACUGGGGUCUUGAGUGCGGGGAGAGGCAAGUGGAAUGGUCGGUGGUAGCGGUGAAAUGCGUAGAUAUCGAUCGGAACACCCGUGGCGAAGGCGGCUGCUGGCUCGCAACUGACGCUGAGGCGCGAAAGCGUGGGGAGCAAACAGG
rnacentral:rRNA from 1 species